rnacentral:rRNA from 1 species
UACGUAGGGUGCAAGCGUUAUCCGGAAUGAUUGGGCGUAAAGCGUCUGUAGGUGGCUUUUUAAGUCUGCCGUCAAAUCCCAGGGCCUAACCCUGGACAGGCGGUGGAAACUACCAAGCUGGAGUACGGUAGGGGCAGAGGGAAUUUCCGGUGGAGCGGUGAAAUGCGUAGAGAUCGGAAGGAACGCCGGUGGCGAAAGCGGCGUGCUGGACCCCUUCUGACGCUGAGGCGCGAAAGCCAGGGGAGCAAACGGG